AUGUCUCAGCGCAAACGGUUCAACAGUGGGUCUGUGAAUGGCUCCUUACAUCAGCAGUCAUCCAAGUGGUAAAGUGUGGCUAGCGCACCUGCCAAGCGCUCAUUGGACAUCCUCCAAAACCUGGUGGCUAAUACACGGAAGAUCAGGUCCGCCACGUCACGUUUGUCGGCAUUCCAUGCUGCCUCACGGCGGUGGAUUGCGCCCAGCUGUUUGGAAGACCAGCGCCUGGGAAAGGCAGUGUGUCAUGGCUGAAUCAGGCUGGUCCCCACGGGACAGUCGCGCUGGCAGAGUGAAGGCUUCGGCCUACAUUGCUUGACCACAGGAACUUCUGACCUAUCAGCUUUGAUUGUGGUGUAGUGGACCACAAUGGCAUUGACGGGUAACGGAGAAUUUGGGUUCGAUUCCGGAGAGGGAGCCUGAGAGACGGCUACCACUACCAAGGUGGGCAGCAGGCGCGCAAAUUGCCCAAUGCAAAGACAUCUUUGUGAGGCAGCGACGAACCGCAACAAUCCUGUUGGCUACAUCAACCAGCAGGACUUGUAAUGGAUGCUAUCCAAAAACAGUCAUGAGUAUCAACUGGAGGGCAAGUCUGGUGCCAGCAGCUGCGGUAAUUCCAGCUCCAAGGGCGUAUGCUAACAUUGCUGCGGUUAAAACACUUGUAGUCUGCCACAGGGGCCAGGUCUGCUGGGUGGCUGGUGCACCGCCCUCGGGUGGUGUGCUGGAUACAACCCCCAGCAGUAUGUCCUGGUCCCGAUCUCAUGACGGUGCGAUCUGCUCCUGCUCGAAGUCCCCUUCAGUGGGGGCCAAGGCGGUUUCAACACCCAACACGUGUGGCGACACCAAGGGGACGUGGCCUCGUGCCACGCAACAACCCCUGUCCACCACCGGAGUCCACCGUUGCUGUCACCGUGGAAAACUCAGUGUGCUCAAAGCAUUCAGAUUGACUGGAUGUCCAUCCAUGGAAUGUCAAAGCAUCGACCAAGUGUGGCCAUGGAGUUGUGCUGGCCUUGGAGCUCACUCUGGAGAAUGUGGUGCUGCACUGCGGUGGCAAGGGCCCUCGGGAUUCCUGCCGUCGGAGUUGCAGUACUGAUCGGAGACGAUGGGACCGCUCGAGGUGAAAGGUAUUGCAACGCCAGAGGUGAAAUUCUUAGACCGUUGCAAGACCAACGGCAGCGAAGGCGUUCUGCAAGUGCGUGUUCGUCGAUCAAGAAUGAGAGCGUGGGGAGCGAAGAUGAUCAGACACCGUCGUAGUCCACAGCUGUAAACUAUGCCAGCUCGGCCUCAGUAGAGCAAGUUCACGGACUCUAUUGGUGCCAAUCCCUCCACAACGAGAAAUCCAAGCCUUUGGGUUCCGGGGGGAGUACGGUCGCAAGGCUGAAACUUAAAGGAAUUGACGGAAUGGCACCACAAGGCGUGGAGUAUGCGGCUUAAUUUGACUCAACACGGGGAAUGUUACCAGGUCAGGACGUUGCUGGGAUGGACAGAUUGAGAGCUCUUUCUUGAUCCUUCGGAUGGUGGUGCAUGGCCGCUCCUGAUUGGUGGAGUGAUUUGUCUGGUUGAUUCCGAUAACGAGUGAGACAUCUGCCUCCCAAUAG
rnacentral:rRNA from 1 species